rnacentral:rRNA from 1 species
GACGAACGCUGGCGGCGUGCUUAACACAUGCAAGUCGAGCGGAAAGGCCCUGCUUUUGUGGGGUGCUCGAGUGGCGAACGGGUGAGUAACACGUGAGUAACCUGCCCUUGACUUUGGGAUAACUUCAGGAAACUGGGGCUAAUACCGGAUAGGAGCUCCUGCUGCAUGGUGGGGGUUGGAAAGUUUCGGCGGUUGGGGUUGGAUUCGGGGCUUUCCAGCUUGUUGGUGGGGUAGUGGCUUACCAAGGCUUUGACGGGUAGCCGGCCUGAGAGGGUGACCGGCCACAUUGGGACUGAGAUACGGCCCAGACUCCUACGGGAGGCAGCAGUGGGGAAUAUUGCACAAUGGGCGGAAGCCUGAUGCAGCAACGCCGCGUGCGGGAUGACGGCCUUCGGGUUGUAAACCGCUUUCGCCUGUGACGAAGCGUGAGUGACGGUAAUGGGUAAAGAAGCACCGGCUAACUACGUG